CCCUAGCCCCGACAGCAGCGGAAAGCCUAUGCCGGUUGAAAACCACUUUUUUCUGGUGGUGGCAGAGCGAAUCCCGACACUUCGGGAGAAGCUCCUGACAGCGGCUAGAAAAAGGGUUUGAAACCAAAUAACUUGCAGCGUAGGGCGGGAAUUGCU
rnacentral:sRNA from 1 species